UAUAGGGUACACCUGGACUGAAUGGCAUUAAUGGGGAACCUGGACCAGAAGGAUUCUGUGGUGAACCUGGUGACCCAGGAAAUCAAGGAUCAAAAGGAGACCACGGAGAGAAAGGAGACAAAGGUGAUAAAGGUUAUGGAAUAAUUGGCUUAGAAGGAAAUCCAGGUCCAAGAGGUGAACGUGGCCAAAGUGGAUUUGCUUUUGAUGGGCUGCCAGGCCAGCCUGGCCCACGUGGAUAUCAUGGCCAGCCUGGUUUGAGAGGUUACCCAGGAUCUAGAGGAACACCAGGAUUAUGUAAAAGGGGGUGUGACUCUGUUUUUCCCAGCAGUGUUAACCAGGAGCCAGUGCACAAACUGUAAAGAGUUGCAUUCUUGGAAGCCUUUGAUGUGAAAAGAGGAAGAGGACUUUUACAGGAGAAGAAAGUGUUUAUUUCCUUUUAACAUGA